UCCACCUCCAUCUCCAAGAAUAGAAAGAAUAGAAAAAAAUAAAAAAUCUCUGCAACCAAAGCUCCUCUCCUCCACCAGAUGGUCCUCUUCUCUAACCUCCAACUAUGCACAGAAAAUAAGGUUUUGAAGCGAGAGAGGGAGGGAGAGAAAAUUGGGUCAACUAACUAACAACUAUGAAUAAAUGCAUGCAGAUAUCAUGAUUGCUGGAAACAAGAGGUGGGAUUUCGUUUAAAAUUCAAACACCCCUUAGACUUUGAAAGGGAAAACUCUGUUUUUUUUCUUCCGUUUCGGAUGGUGGUGGGUGGUGUUUUAG
rnacentral:lncRNA from 1 species